AGGACGAACGCUGGCGGCGUGCUUAACACAUGCAAGUCGAGCGGAAAGGCCCUUCGGGGUACUCGAGCGGCGAACGGGUGAGUAACACGUGAGCAACCUGCCCUUAGCUCCGGGAUAGCUCCGGGAAACCGGAAUUAAUACCGGAUAUGACCUAGGCCGACAUCGGCUGUGGUGGAAAGUUUUUCGGCUGGGGAUGGACUCGCGGCCUAUCAGCUUGUUGGUGGGGUAAUGGCCUACCAAGGCGACGACGGGUAGCCGGCCUGAGAGGGCGACCGGCCACACUGGGACUGAGACACGGCCCAGACUCCUACGGGAGGCAGCAGUGGGGAAUCUUGCGCAAUGGGCGAAAGCCUGACGCAGCGACGCCGCGUGGGGGAUGGAAGGCCUUCGGGUUGUAAACCCCUUUCAGCAGGGACGAAGCGAAAGUGACGGUACUGCAGAAGAGCGCCGGCUAACUACGUGCCAGCAGCCGC
rnacentral:rRNA from 1 species